AUGGACCUCCUCAGAGAGCAAAUAAGGGAGGCAACCGUAUGUUCCUGGGAGAAGCUAACAAUCUUGGCAAAGCGCAAGUCCCUCUUUGAUGAUAAAGCAGUAGAAAUUGAGGAGCUAACAUACAUCAUCAAACAGGACAUCAAUAGCCUCAACAAACAAAUUGCUCAGCUUCAAGAUUUUGUGAGGGCCAAGGGCAGCCAGAGUGGCCAGCAUCUGCAAACCCAUUCUAACACCAUUGUGGUUUCAUUGCAGUCAAAACUGGCUUCCAUGUCCAGUGACUUCAAAUCCAUUUUAGAAGUGAGGACUGAAAAUCUGAAACAGCAGAGGAACCAUCGGGAACAGUUCUCCAGGGCACCAGUGUCAGCCCUGCCUCUUGCCCCCAACAACCUUGGAGGUGGUCCCAUAAUUUUGGGAGCACAGUCCAGAGCCUCCAGGGAAGUGGCAAUUGACAUGAUGGACCCUAGAACAAGUCAGCAGCUUCAGUUCAUUGACAAGUAGGAUUCCUACACCCAGAGUCAGGCAGACACCAUGCAGAACAUUGAGUCUACAAUCGUUGAGCUGGGCUCCAUUUUUCAGCAAUUGACACACAUCGUUAAAGAACAGGAGGAAACAAUUCAGAGGAUGGACGAGAAUGUGCUUGGAGCCCAGCUGGAUGUCGAGGCAGCCCAUUCAGAGAUCCUCAAGUACUUCUAGUCGGUUAUCUCAUGGUCAAAAAUCUUCCUCAUCCUCAUUGUCUUCUUCAUCAUCUUUGUGGUCUUCCUUGCCUGA